GGAGCGAUGGCCGAGUCCGGUUGAUGGCGGCGGUCUUGAAAACCGCUAGGGUGCAAGCCCUCGGGGGUUCGAAUCCCUCUCGCUCCGCCA
rnacentral:tRNA from 1 species